CUGCCCUCCAGCCCGGCUGGUGUGUUGGGCCCCGUCCCCCCGGGGACGGGCCCGAAAGGCAGCGGCGGCACCGCGUCCGGUCCUCGAGCGUAUGGGGCUUUGUCACCCGCUCCCGUAGGCCCGGCCGGCGCCCGCCGACCCCCAACCAAUCUUUCUCA
rnacentral:misc_RNA from 1 species